rnacentral:rRNA from 1 species
UACGAAGGGGGCUAGCGUUGCUCGGAAUUACUGGGCGUAAAGGGCGCGUAGGCGGAUAUUUAAGUCAGGGGUGAAAGCCCGGGGCUCAACCUCGGAACUGCCUUUGAUACUGGAUAUCUUGAGUUCGGGAGAGGUGAGUGGAAUGCCGAGUGUAGAGGUGAAAUUCGUAGAUAUUCGGCGGAACACCAGUGACGAAGGCGACUCACUGGCCCGAUACUGACGCUGAGGCGCGAAAGCGUGGGGAGCAAACAGG